UUCAAAGCCAUUUCUUUGGAUUAUUCAUCAUGAAAGUGAAAGCAAACUUCUUUACAAAACACAAGAAUCCAUAUGUCAUGUUAUGUCAUUCAAUCAUACCAUUACAACUUCAAAUCAUCUAUUUUCCAACAUAGAAAAAAUUUACACAAGAAAAUACGCCCAUAUUAUUACAAAGUGUGCAAAGGCAUCACAAAAUCACUACCCAACACGAGACAUUACAUCAAGAAAUCAUACACAACACAUAUGCCUUAUCCUAAACCCAGUGGCUACUAUUCUUGGUGCUUCCAUCUUCACCAAUUCAUGUCCCUAA